rnacentral:misc_RNA from 1 species
GUGAAUCAUCAAAUCUUUGAACGCAAAUUGCACUCUCCUCGGAGAGUAUGCCUGUUUGAGGGUCAGCCUAUAAAAAUCGACAUCGUUGCUGUUUCGCGGUGGCGUUCGUCGGAAAUUGGGUAAUCUUAAAACCUUUUGAUUUAACCGACUUAAAAUUUUCUUUUGGUUCCUUGAAUUUUCCUAAGAUCUAUUUCUUUCCACGUUUAAGGUCCCGUUUUUUC